CCUACGGGAGGCAGCAGUGAGGAAUAUUGGUCAAUGGACGCAAGUCUGAACCAGCCAUGCCGCGUGCAGGAAGACGGCUCUAUGAGUUGUAAACUGCUUUUGUACGAGGGUAAACGCAGAUACGCGUAUCUGUCUGAAAGUAUCGUACGAAUAAGGCUCGGCUAACUCCGUGCCCGCAGCCGCGGUAAUACGGAGGAUUCAAGCGUUAUCCUGAUUUAUUGGGUUUAAAGGGUGCGUAGGCGGUCGGAUAAGUUAGAUGUGAAAUCCCGAGGCUCAACGUCGGAAUUGCCUCUGAUACUGUUCGGCUAGAGAGGAGUUGCGGUAGGCGGAAUGUAUGGUGUAGCGGUGAAAUGCUUAGAGAUCAUACAGAACACCGAUUGCGAAGGCAGCUUACCAAGCUACUUCUGACGUUGAGGCACGAAAGCGUGGGGAGCAAACAGGAUUAGAUACCCUAGUAGUC
rnacentral:rRNA from 1 species